GUAUUCCCUACCUCCAUUCUCUUUCCUCUAGGUGCUCUGUAUUAGAAGAGCAGGAAUGAAGUAAAAUACUGAGGAAUCCAGGAGCAGUUCUGUGAGUGCUUUGGAUGGUUCCAAGCUUGACUUCCAUAAAACACUUAGCAGGUCGAAAUGCAGGUUUUAUUUUUCCAGUUGUGACCUUCAGUACCUAUCCUGUGUCUUUUAAGAAUUUCCUCAUCCAGGGAACAGAUUUGUUGGCUUAAGAAUAACUGAUACUGCCACAUUCUGCAGAAGGCGAGCUCUCUGCUCCUCUGCCCAGCAGAACCAGUUUUGGUUACAGUUGUUUGCUGUGGUGCUUGCUCUUUGGCACUUCCUUGCUUUUUUUUUGCCAGUAGAAAUGUGCAGAAUGGUGCCCAACUGUGAGCUGGAAACUGGGAUCGUGCCUGUAGUUUUCAACCCAAGCAAAGGGUCUACAAGAGUGUUGGUCACCUGUUGAUUAAAGAAUUAAAUCUCAGCAAACUCCAGCCUGUACAAAACCCUCAGUGGCCUUCAGAUUUUUAAGAAGAGUGAUGGGGAGUUCUAGCUUCUCUGCAAAACUGGGGUGCAGAGAAAUAUCAGAAGGACCACAGUGUCUUGGACAGAAGGAAGCCAAACAAAAUAUUUCACUUUUUCCCUGAGAAUCCUUGAUUAAAAUAAUCUUGUUUAGAACUCCUUAUGGGACUUCUCCUUGGCUUAUUUUGUGAGCUUCAGCUUGUCUACCUGGCAGGACUUUUUAUUUUCUAUUUUGGGGCAAAGCUCAGAGUCUGAUCCUAGUUUUGUGGCCCAUUAACAGACCAAUACUAUUAUCUUGUUCACAGCAUACGUAUUUAAAUCUCUUCAUGCCUAAGCUGGAAACUCACAUAUCACAAUCAUGCCCAUAAAUUGUGUGUUCCCAGAACCAUAACUGGAGAUUUCUAUCUGUAUUUGCCAG
rnacentral:lncRNA from 1 species